GAGUUUCCACCCGCCUUUGGGCUGCGCUACAAACAACCCGACUCCCKUGAAGCCCUGGUCGGCCGCCGGGCGGCGCCCGCAGGGGCCUGACACCCGCCACGGGACGGAGGGGGCCUCGAUCAGAAGGACCUCGGCGCCGCCGCGACCGCCGGACCGGACUUCCUUACGCCACAGUUCCCGCGGGCCCGACGGGGGACCCGGGGAUUCGGCGCUGGGCUCUUCCCGCUUCGCUCGCC
rnacentral:rRNA from 1 species